AGGGUAGAGCGGAUGGCCGCUGGCUCCCGCUGGGGGCGAGAGGAAAGUCCGAGCUCCAAAGGGUGAGCGUAGUGGGUAACGCCCAUCGUCCCCGCUGUUUCGUUUUGCUUCGCAAAGCGAAACAAAACGGUGGGGAUAGGAUUAGAGCCACAGAGACAACAACUCAUCCAAAAAAGGGGCCAGGCCCCUUUUUUGGGCAGAGGGUGAAAAGAGGUAAUCUCUACGCGGAGAAAGGUCGAAUAGGAAGGGAUGCUUAUAUGGCAACGAGCCUCACCCGGCUCGUCAUUACUUUCGGGUUGACCGCUAAUUGACUUUGCCGGUAACGGCAAAGCUAGAUGGAUGGCCGUCGAACACAGAACUCGGCUUAUAGCUCUACUCUCUUA
rnacentral:RNase_P_RNA from 1 species